AACGUAGGGGGCGAGCGUUAUCCGGAUUUACUGGGCGUAAAGCGCAUGUAGGCGGUUGGGUAAGUCAGACGUGAAAGCUCCCGGCUUAACUGGGAGAGGUCGUUUGAAACUACCCGACUGGAGGUUGGAAGAGGAGAGUGGAAUUCCCGGUGUAGUGGUGGAAUGCGUAGAUAUCGGGAGGAACACCAGUGGCGAAAGCGGCUCUCUGGACCAAUUCUGACGCUGAGAUGCGAAAGCGUGGGGAGCAAACGGG
rnacentral:rRNA from 1 species